UCUUUGGGCAACCUCUUCCAGGAACCUUCAGUGCCAGCUAUAUCAACAAGGUCUUAACUGCUCUUCAAGCCGUAUGUGUGACCUGGGUUUUCUAAACAGGGGCUCUCGGUGGACCUGGAACUUGAAACUCUCUUACCUCACCUUUCCAUGUGGUGAGAUGAUAGAAAGGAAUCACCAACACUUUAGGGUUUAUGGCAGCGCUCUUACGUGAGCUAAUUGAUGUUUACAUUGGUAUCCAUAUCCCUCCACACUUCUCCCCUUGCCAGCAGUCAAAGGAUAUCCUGUCUUAGGGUUGGAGCUCUACUGUCUAAAAUUUUCCCAGUAGUUUUAGAGGGCAUAUGUAAGGAACAACCACAGACACAACAGUGUCACGAGGGCCAACUGCAAAACAGCUUUUCUCCUGCAGAACAAUUCUCAUGCCUUUCUUUGGUCUGUAGUGGCCUUCUUCUCUUAGGGCUUAAAUUGAUGGGAUGCUUAGUUGUAAAACAUUUGAGAAAGAAAGACUCUUGGUAUGCAUGCAAAAAACUUCUGGAUAAUGUGCUAAACUUCAUGUUCUUGCCAAAACGUACUGUUUUAAAGCAACAAAGACAACAGAAUUAAAGUCACUCAAGCCAAGCCCAGUCUAGUGCUCUUAGUGAAGUCAGUUUGUUCCAUACUCUGAAAAGUCUAGGGAGUAAA
rnacentral:lncRNA from 1 species